UACGGAGGGUGCAAGCGUUGCUCGGAAUUAUUGGGCGUAAAGGGCAGGUAGGUGGUCUUAUUUGUCAGGGGUGAAAGCCUUGGGCUUAACUCAAGAAGUGCCCCUGAAACGGUAAGACUCGAGUGCUGGAGAGGGUCGUGGAAUUCCCGGUGUAGCGGUGAAAUGCGUAGAGAUAUGGAGGAACACCAGUGGCGAAGGCGACUUUCUGGUCUGUAACUGACACUGAGGCGCGAAAGCGUGGGGAGCAAACAGG
rnacentral:rRNA from 1 species